rnacentral:rRNA from 1 species
GAUCAUGGCUCAGGAUGAACGCUAGCUACAGGCUUAACACAUGCAAGUCGAGGGGCAGCAUCAUCAAAGCUUGCUUUGAUGGAUGGCGACCGGCGCACGGGUGAGUAACACGUAUCCAACCUGCCGACAACACUGGGAUAGCCUUUCGAAAGAAAGAUUAAUACCGGAUGGCNUAAUUAUUCCGCAUGGGAUAAUUUAUUAAAAGAAAUUUCGGUUGUCGAUGGGGAUGCGUUCCA